CUCGUAGGCGGUCUGUUGCGUCUGCUGUGAAAACUCGGGGCUCAACCCCGAGCCUGCAGUGGAUACGGGCAGACUAGAGGUAGGUAGGGGAGAAUGGAAUUCCCGGUGUAGCGGUGAAAUGCGCAGAUAUCGGGAGGAACACCGGUGGCGAAGGCGGUUCUCUGGGCCUUACCUGACGCUGAGGAGCGAAAGCGUGGGGAGCGAACA
rnacentral:rRNA from 1 species